rnacentral:lncRNA from 1 species
CAAGCAGAGGUUGAAGCUAAGAGAGCAAAAUCAUCAUCCAACUCUACCAAUCGUCUUCUUUGGUUAAGGUGAGUAAUAAUUUGUAGUAUUACUUACCAAAAAAAUAAUUUACAGUAUAAAAUUAUAAAAAAUAGUAAUUCAUUGCAUUAUUUUCCAAAAAAACAACUUCCUGGACAUCCAAGCUGGGCUGAUGAGGCUAUUGGAAAUCUGGUUUAUAAAUAAUUUUAUAAGCCAAAGUCGAAAUCUUUUCAAAUGGCGAUCAGGGUUACAUAGAGAGCUGAGAUUAUAUCUCUACUAGUAUAAAAAAAAGGAAAAACAUAAGUUCUGCCACACCUUUUUCUUCCCAAAAACAUUCCCUUAAAAUAAAAGGAAAAUUAUGUACGACCCUUUUUGCAAUGAUGCACCUUAGAAACGGGGAAUCUUUGCAAUUCUCAAUAUCCCCACAGCCUCCCGACCACAUAGCCUCCAAUAAAGAGAUUAGAUUACUAUUCUUGCAAAGCACUUCACCUUCUAUAAGGCAUCUAGCACAACUGAAUGGUCUAUUGUCAAUAUUCUUGUUUUCCCAUCUCCUUGAUGACUUUUUUCCUUUUGUACAGCUUCAUAUCGUUAAUUUUCUUGCAAAGAAAAGGAAAUAGUGCACUAGCAUGGGAAUUGAGAAUUUUGCUCUCCUUUCUUUGGCUGUAAGGAGUUUAUAGGUCAGUUUAGUUUAUGCCUUUAUUCCUACCUUGCCAGGGUUCAAACCUUGACACCCCCUCCCCCUUCCCCGCUUAGAAAUAAAUAGAGUAGGAAUUGCUUGUAUAAAAAAAUUACUUAUGCAGGGAUACACAUUGGAAGCAAACGGUCUUGUACCAC